UGACCUCCUGUCAUGCUUUCAACCUGGCAGGCAGCUAAAUACCAUGCAGCCACUCACUCACUCUUGUAGGCGAGGUAAAAAACAAUUUGAUAAUCUAAUUUAAUAAUAACAGCAAUAACAAGAAGACGUGAUGCAUAGUGCAACUGCUCGACACUCACUGACCAAUGCCCAGCCCAUUGCUGAGUAGUCAUCACAGAGGAGAGAAAUGAAGAAAACUGCAGUUUGGAAGAGAGAGAGAGCUUCCUGGCCAGCCCUCAUCUAUAUGCUAAGCAUGAUGUUGCAUGAUACAGAAUAUUGCAUUGGCCAGUUUGGAUCAGUUGCUCUUGCUAAGCUCUAACCUACACACUAGCAAAGCAUGGAAAGUUGAAAAGUCCUUGAUUUCUUAGCAACAACUAAAACCAUCAGUGUUCUAUCAACAUUCUUCUCAUAUCAAAUCCCACAGUGAAUAAUGAUAUUCAAGCUGCGAAGAAGAAAAUUAGCUCUACCCCAGCCAAAACCAGAACACUCCCACCUUUAUUCCUGAGAUGGAAAGGAAAAUUAACAUCGACACACCGAGAGGAUUAAAAAUGUCUUUAAACCAUCAGAUACUGAAACUUCCUGCAGGUGCACUGCCUGCCCUCAUUUCACAAUCUUGAUUACAAAGGUGCAAUUGUGUAUGCUUGUUCAUCAAAGGAGGAAGAAGCAAGAAUGUGUUUUUCCGAUGACCUGUGCUGAGUAGCAGAAUGACAGACACGCAGGAUGCAUGUUGGUGUGUAGCUCAGGUUGAGACUCUUCCUGGGCUAUCAAUGGAAAGCUGAAAAAAAAAAAAACUAACUUAUGUAUUAUUAGUUGAAACAGGACAGGAAUCAGCUAUGAUUUGAGGAUGUAAAAUCAGGAUUAAGAAGUAUGAGAGGCAAAACUCCAAAUGGGGAAAAUCAGAUUUAGAUUAAAUGUUUGGAAAUAUUUUAUCAUAGUAAAAUCUACAAUGUAAUUAAAUAAUCUUUAAAAAAAAUAAGGGAAAUAUUAUGAUUGGGACUUUUAAGAAUGAUACUAAGAAACAAUAAAGAAACAAAACUGUUGGGAUCUAUUCUCCAUGAAAAGUGGGAGCAGUUAGGGAUGUAUUAAUAAAUCUAAAUAAAUUGAAUAUAGGAAUUUAGUGUAUUCUUUACUUCUCAAAGACAACCACUGAGAUGAGUUUUAUGCGCUACAUCCUAAUAACACAUCCCUGAUACCACUGUGAAUGUCAACCUCAGUGUGACAGUUCUCCAGUUGUGGAGAUGUACGGUUGUUCCGCCUGUAAAUCUCUACAAACAGCAGGGUUUUGCUCUACCAUGCCUCCUCUUACCUCCAGAUCAGUAUCAGUUCACAAACAGCCAUCAAAAUAAGAGACAAAGUUGGGUGGCAGAGGCUAUCAACCUUCAAAUCUGACUCCAAUAUAUCAAAAUUCUCCAAUGCUUGCUCCUGCCAUUUUAGGUGUGAUCAAACCAGAGAAUUCAUGCUGCUAUUCUUGCUUUCCUCCUCCCUGAGGCUUCAAACAUGCAGCAAGCUAAAGCUUCUUUUUCCUAGGGAAAUUUGGUUUAAUGUCACUGCUGCAUUCUUAAGACUACUCAACAUUUAAUUCUUUCUUUUUUUUGUUUGUCUUUGAAAGCAACAGACAACACUUAAAUUCAGGAAACAUUAACUGAUCUCUGCUGUACUUUAGAUACUGCUUCCCCCAUAGUGACAAACAGCAAGCUUUUAGCACAGAAACCACCUGUAACAAAUGCUAAAAAGUAUUCAAAAUAUACUUUUCUGGCUGUUUCUUCAUGGGGCAUAUGUAGUUUCUUGUUAAAAAAAAAGUGAUGCCAAAAUGUUAUUUUUAACUUAACAUUUAAUUGCAUUAACAUUUAAUUUUAAAUAAUGUUAAAUUUUAAUGAAAAAAAUUGCUUUAUUUUUCUGCUCUGUAGGGGAAAUCUCUAUUUCUCAGCUUUAUUUGCUCAUGGGAUGGCAGAACGAUACAGCCAUUUAAACUUCCUAUAAGCAGAAACACAAUCCCUCAAAACAGCCAACAUCUAAAGAAUAUUGUAUCACUUAUAUGAAUCCAGUUCCUUUUGCACUGGUAUACAGGUAGUGCUUUUUUUCCUGUAUAGUAAGUGUUGUUUAUUGAUACUAUAUGAAAGAAUUCAACUGAUGAGGCUUCAGUUGCUCAUAAGUGACAGCAAUGAACAUCACACAAUGGAAGUAAAGGACUACACAUGGAGGCAUUUGGCACAGAUCAUGUAUUCACAGAAUCAUAGAAAAAAAGGCAGACUGGAAGAGAUCCUCUGGAUGCCAUCAAAGCAGAGCAAGCUUCACAGGCAGAUCAGAUUGUGCCAGGUCUCAUGCAGUUCGGCUCCGAAAAUACCCAAGGAUGGAGACCAUACAACCUCUCUGAGCAAUGCAUGCUGCUGCUUAACCACGAUGUUGGAUCAUGGCAUCCUGAGAUGUUAUCUGCAGGAUUAGUAUGGGUACUCUUUUAGU